ensembl:lncRNA
CUUGCUAGUGUUAGUAGCCAUAUAACUAAUAAAUGAAUGAAUGUAGUAUUUAAUGUCCACAUUUAUUACUUUAGAUCCUAAGAAUCCUCUGAAUUUCUCUGUAAAUCACUAAAUUCAUUGAACUCUGAAUUUAGCCAUUCUCAAUUGAAUCCUAGAAUAUUCUUCAGUAGAACAUGAAAAAGUAAUAGAACCAACUUGCUUGAAGUAUUGUGAACCAAUGCUGUUGUUCUGUAUAUCAGUCAGUAUUUAACAUUUCUGCUGUGUUUGGGAUGGUGAUGGUUUAACUUCAGGAAAGUUUUCUCUUAUGUCUCCUUUCAUUAUCAUUGUGCAAUUUUUAACAACUAAAUUUAGUGCAUUUUUGUCUGUUCUUCAGAUGUUAUAGUAUGCUGCCUGCUAUGCUAAUUUGAAACAGAAAUAAUAGUGAUCUUUAUUCUUAUGUUGUUAGUAUUUUCGGUAUUUUCCAUUAUCUUUUUUUUUUUUUUGCUAUAUUAUUUCCUUUUUCCUUUUACUACCAUAGAGUACAGGUAUAAAUGAGGAGUGAGUAGCCAAAACUGGAUAAAGAGAGUAGAGGACCAUAAUGAGAGAGAGAGAGGGCUAGACAGACUAUGUAUAAUCAGCAUCUUAACAGCAGGGUUUACUGGACACAGAAUUUCCCUGCUACAAUCACUUUAGCCUUAUCUCUUGUUGAUACCGUUUUACUGUAAGAGUUGUUAAUGCAUGUAAGCAUUUAGUUUGAGUUAUUUUACCUAAGGAGUUUAUAUUGCUGAUUCUUGUCAGCUAGUCAGAUGCCUUUGAGAAAUUCUUUUUAAUUUUAAACAUCAUAAUCGUAUAGUGUCUGCCGUCAGGAAGUUCCAAGAAUUAUGUGGUAGUAUAGCUAUUUAAUGCCAAGGAGAAGUGAAUAGGUUGCCUAAAGUUUGACUGAAAAAACUAGGACCUUAUUAUAGGUCUCCUAUUAUGGAGAAAGGAUACCAUGUAUUAAAGUAGAAUUUGUCAACAGAGAGAAAAUCAACUGUUUGUAUAUGAAGGGUGAUUUUUCACUUUAAAGUUUGGACUACUUCAGAUAUUUUGAGAUCUUGAGAGUCUCCAUAGCUAUUGGUAUUGUGAAUUCCUGCAACAUGUAAUACGGUGCCUACCACAGUCGUGCAGCGCUCUGAUCUUUUUGGUGUUGAUAGCUUUAUAUAUAAACAGAGAUGUGGACAAAACAGUAGCAACAAAAGGUGUGUUUCUUUUUGUGGCUUUGCUUGUCUGUUGACUAAGUACAGGGUUUAAUUGCGUAGGCUGUUAACUAAAGGGAAAGCUUGCCUGCAUAUUGCAAGCUCAUUCUUGCCAGUAUGUGUUGGGUGGUAUUUGCACUACUGGUGCCUGAAGUUAGUGUUUUACAACCUCAAUAACUAAAACAUCCUGGUGCUACUCACUUUAGCCUUGAGUGACAUUUUUAACUCCCGUACCAAAGAGUUAAUUUUCUUUUCAGUUCCCUGAGGGUUUUCUUCUCACAUCCUUGUGUUUAUAAAGGAGAAUUUGAUGUUACUAAGAACAAUUCUGAUUAAUAGAUGUUAGUUUUUGCACACUACUGCCUCAAUUUAUUUGGCUUUAAAUGUCUCUCAUUUGGACUUUCUGUUUUUUAGUUAGGAAGAUUAGUAUGACAUUUAAUUUUGUAUUUUCAUAUAGAUUGGCCACUUUAAAAUGUAGUAUGGUAGGUUGAACUUACAGAAGUUAAUUAAAACACUUUUCACAAGAUUUUUUUUUUGUCUUAAUCUGCAGGAAUAAAUGAGAAAUAAUAAGAACUCUACUAGUCCUACAAAUGAACUGUAUGGCUUGUUGGGCCCUUUUAAUAAAUUCUGAAGCAAAAUGCUAAAAGGAAAAGUUAAGGGCCCAUUCUGAUAACAGAUGAAGGUUUCUGCAUCUCUGUGUGUGUAUUAGUGGUAUUAAAGAAUGAUAUUGCCAUUUUUCUAUUUUGCAAAUAAAGAUAAAAUUAAAGGAAAUGGUAAAAUAUACACAUGUAUAUGUGUGUACACACACACCACAUGCACGCACACACACAUAUGCUUCUCUAAGAGGAAAUGCAAAACUUUGAUUUAAACAAAACUAAUAAGAAAUUGAACUUUACGUCCCCCCAAAAAACCUAGAUGUUGUUACUCACUUCACGUAAGUUAUAGUUAGGAGUAUUUUAAAAACUAAUUCUGCUUAGUGAUUCAUUUUGUAAAAAAUGAAAGACAACAUCCUUUAGAAGUAGUUGUAAUCAUCCAAAUGUAAUACUGUUAUGUUUACUAUCCUAUUUCCCUGUUCUUUUCCCCACAAACCUUGAAAGCAUUCAUUUAAUGUCCCUAAAAAAUGUAGCUGAAUUGAUUAAAAAUUCUGGCAAGAAGAUAACUGAGUGUGCGUAUUAGGAAAGUAGACAAUCACAUUUGAGAAUGUUCCGCAUAGUUUUCAAUCAACUAAAAUCGUUCUGUCUUUGAAUGUAGAUAUAAUAUAUGGUUUUGCAGUGAAUUCUGAAUGGAAAAAAAUCAUGCCUAAAACUAAUGUGAAAUGUGACUUAGGAUCACGUGAAUGAUAUAUUGAAAUACAGAUGUAUAUAUUAUUAGGGGGAAAGACAAAAUUUAAACGCAAACUGGGAAGAAACAACAUUGUCUCUAAUUAUCCAAAUAUAUUUUCCAGAUCUUGUUGCUGCAGUAUCAGUUCUGAGUUACUCAGAUUGUUUAUGUGUUACUUAAUUUAAUGUGGCUAAAUGCAGUCAUUUAUUUAAGUUAUUGGGUAGUAGAAGAUUCACAACUGUUGUCCUCUAGAGUAUUAAAAAGAAAUGUCUGCUUUAGCAUAGGUAGAAUAAAGUGACUAAAUGAUAUCAUAGGAAGAAUUUUCUCUACAACUGGAGAUACUCAGGCAAGUGAGUUGUAAGUUUAACCUGAGGGAAUAAAAUAGACUUUUGCAGGAACUGAGUGUAGAUGAUCUUGCUUGUAUGGGCUUUGUGUCCCUAGAAUUAGUCUUUUAAAAUGCGACUGGCAAGUUUAAUGAAUAGGCAAAAUUUGUGAUAUUUUGAGGCUCUUAAAAUUUUGUGUCAACCUCGUGAUGUUUAAUAUCAUAUCCUCCUUAAAAUAAAAGACUUUUAUUUUGAUAGUGGUAUGUUCCAAGUGCCAUGUGAAGAUUCUGUUCUUAAAUUUGUUGGGCAUUUUUACAUUCAGUGCAUCUCUUUAAAUCUGAGUGUUAUUUUGCUGCAUGUCCGCUGUGUUACCUUGUCAGUUCCCCUAACAGCAUUUAAAGAAAAAUUGUCACUGACGUUUCUUGUGCUAAAGGUAAUAAAGAAAAUAUUGUUGAGGGAUAUGAAACUAGAUUGAGAAGAGGGAGGAAAAUGAUAAGUGGGAGCCAUGUAUCCGAGAUACACUUGUUGAAAAGUCUACACUGGUUUUUGAAUGGAAAACAAACCAUGUGUCUAUCUACCUUAAGAACAAUGUUUUGUUUUGUUUUUAAUUUAUUUUACUUAGUUUUAUUCAUGUAAUAUUUCUAUUUUCUUUGCAGAUUGUUUUUUAAUUUCAAUUGUGAAGUUUUUACUUCUCUCAAAAUGUAUUAUGUACUGUAUUUUUAGAUAUCUUAUUUUUAAAUAAAUAUUUUUUAAAAA